CGUAGGGUCCAAGCGUUGUCCGGAUUUAUUGGGCGUAAAGAGCUCGUAGGCGGUUUCGUAAGUCGGAUGUGAAAACUCAGGGCUCAACCCGGAGACGCCAUCUGAUACUGCGAUGACUUGAGUCUGGUAGGGGAUCACGGAAUACCUGGUGUAGCGGUGAAAUGCGCAGAUAUCAGGUGGAACACCGAUGGCGAAGGCAGUGAUCUGGGCCAGUACUGACGCUGAGGAGCGAAAGCGUGGGGAGCAAACAGGAUUAGAUACCCUGGUAGUCCACGCCGUAAACGUUGGGCACUAGGUGUGGGUCCUCAUCAACGGGAUCCGUGCCGUAGCUAACGCAUUAAGUGCCCCGCCUGGGGAGUACGGCCGCAAGGCUA
rnacentral:rRNA from 1 species